rnacentral:misc_RNA from 1 species
AUUGAAAAUUUUCUGGGUAGGCCAACGAGCAAGUUCCUACGAGUCUUUCCCACAUUUAGGGUUACCGUUACUGGUUUUGAUUAGUGACGAAGAUGAUGCUUCGAUCAUGACAGAGUUAGCAACUGAUGAAGGUGGUCCACAGACACAGCCUGCAAGUACCGAGAACGUUGAACGGCUAGACAGUCAGAAUCGAAGAUUUGGUUUUAGAGUGUUUGAUUUGCUUGGAACAAUUGACAAUAGGGUUGGAAGGUAAGCGGUUGCUAUGCUCGCAUCUUUACCGUGGCAAGUGCAUCAAGGAGUGGCUGGAGAAGAGCAAGACAAG